rnacentral:rRNA from 1 species
AACCUGCCUAAGAGAUCGGGAUAACACCUGGAAACAGAUGCUAAUACCGGAUAAUAACAGAUGAUGCCUAUCAACUGUUUAAAAGAUGGUUCUGCUAUCACUCUUGGAUGGACCUGCGGUGCAUUAACUAGUUGGUAGGUAACGGCCUACCAAGGCGAUGAUGCAUAGCCGAGUUGAGAGACUGAUCGGCCACAUUGGGACUGAGACACGGCCCAAACUCCUACGGGAGGCAGCAGCC